AACGAACGCUGGCGGCAGGCUUAACACAUGCAAGUCGAACGGGUGUAGCAAUACAUCAGUGGCAGACGGGUGAGUAACACGUGGGAACCUUCCUAGGGGUACGGAACAACUCAGGGAAACUUGAGCUAAUACCGUAUACGUCCGUGAGGAGAAAGAUUUAUCGCCCUUAGACGGGCCCGCGUCGGAUUAGGUAGUUGGUGGGGUAACGGCCUACCAAGCCUACGAUCCGUAGCUGAUCCGAGAGGAUGAUCAGCCACACUGGGACUGAGACACGGCCCAGACUCCUACGGGAGGCAGCAGUGGGGAAUCUUGGACAAUGGGCGCAAGCCUGAUCCAGCCAUGCCGCGUGAGUGAAGAAGGCCUUAGGGUUGUAAAGCUCUUUUACCAGGGACGAUAAUGACGGUACCUGGAGAAUAAGCCCCGGCAAACUUCGUGCCAGCAGCCGCAGUAACAC
rnacentral:rRNA from 1 species